UACAGAGACUGCAAGCGUUAUUCGGAUUCACUGGGCGUAAAGGGUGCGCAGGCGGCCGAGUGUGUGAGGCGUGAAAGCCCGGGGCUUAACCCCGGAAUUGCACCUCAAACUACACGGCUAGAGCAUUGGAGAGGGUAGCAGAAUUCAUGGUGUAGCAGUGAAAUGCGUAGAUAUCAUGAGGAAUACCAGAGGCGAAGGCGGCUACCUGGACAAUUGCUGACGCUCAGGCACGAAAGCGUGGGGGAGCAAAAGGG
rnacentral:rRNA from 1 species